CCAGUGCAGUCCAGACCAGACCAGUGCAGUCCAGACCAGUCCAGACCAGUUCAGACCAGUGCAGUCCAGACCAGUCCAGUCCAACUGCUCUAUCUUGUCCCUUGUCCAAUACACAAUAAAUCCUGGCCAGGCUGGCAGGGUGCAUGUCCUUUACAUCCUGGCCUUUACACCCCCCCCCCCCCCCCCCUCUCUCUCUCUCUCUCUCUCUCUCUCACUCUCUCUCUCUCUCUCUCUCUCUCUCUCUCUCUCUCUCUCUCUGUGUGUCUCUCUCACUCCAGGCUGUGAGGCUCAGCCCUGUGGAUUCCUAAUGGCCUUCCUUGCAUUGUUCUGGCAGGGCAGUUCAUCAGAGAUUUUGGAGGCCAUGGCAAGAUUCACGCAGAGACGGGAAUUCAGAAGAAGAUGUGAUUGGUCGCUUGGUAAGAGCCCUUCUCUCUCUUUCUGAUGAAUAGAUGUUUUAUAUUAUGGCUAUGUGCAGUGUUGUAAUAAUGUGUAAAUAGUAAAUAAAUAAAGAUA
rnacentral:lncRNA from 1 species